AGCGAACGCUGGCGGCAGGCCUAACACAUGCAAGUCGAGCGCCCGGCAACGGGAGCGGCAGACGGGUGAGUAACGCGUGGGGAUCUACCCAUUGGUACGGAAUAACCCAGGGAAACUUGGAUUAAUACCGUAUAAGCCCUUCGGGGGAAAGAUUUAUCGCCAAUGGAUGAACCCGCGUCGGAUUAGCUAGUUGGUGGGGUAAAGGCCCACCAAGGCGACGAUCCGUAGCUGGUCUGAGAGGAUGAUCAGCCACACUGGGACUGAGACACGGCCCAGACUCCUACGGGAGGCAGCAGUGGGGAAUAUUGGACAAUGGGCGCAAGCCUGAUCCAGCCAUGCCGCGUGAGUGAUGAAGGCCUUAGGGUUGUAAAGCUCUUUCGCCGGUGAAGAUAAUGACGGUAACCGGAGAAGAAGCCCCGGCUAACUUCGUGCCAGCCGCCGCGGUAAGAC
rnacentral:rRNA from 1 species